GACGAACGCUGGCGGCGCGCUUAACACAUGCAAGUCGAACGGAAAGGCCUGCUUUCCCUUGUGGAUUGCGGGUACUCGAGUGGCGAACGGGUGAGUAACACGUGAGUGAUCUGCCCCCAACUUGGGUAUAAGCCUGGGAAACUGGGUCUAAUUCCCGAUAGGACUGCAGGGUGGUGCCUGUGGUGGAAAACGAUUUUCUAGUGGUUGGGGAUGAGCUCGCGGCCUAUCAGCUUGUUGGUGGGGUAAUGGCCUACCAAGGCGGCGACGGGUAGCCGGCCUGGGAGGGUGGACGGCCACAGUGGGACUGGGAUACGGCCCAGACUCCUACGGGAGGCAGCAGUGGGGAAUAUUGCACAAUGGGCGGAAGCCUGAUGCAGCGACGCCGCGUGGGGGAUGACGGCCUUCGGGUUGUAAACUCCUUUCGACCGCGAGGAAGCCACCUGGUUGGAAGGGUGGUGACGGUAGUGGUAGAAGAAGCACCGGCUAACUACGUG
rnacentral:rRNA from 1 species